AUAUUUCCCUGUGCUUUUAUAUCAUUAACCCUUACCAAACCAUGGAGGCAAAGGAAAAAGAAAAGCUUUCAAGCAACAAGAAACCAAACCACAUGCUUCCACAGUGUCAUCCAGUACCGAUGCAUGGGAACUCCUAUGUGGCAGUGGAUUCUUUAUCUUUAUUUGGUGCUAUCCUACCUGAGCUUCCUUUUAUUCCUUCUUUAAUUAUAUACACACACAAACACACACACACACACACACACACACAUAUAUAUAUACACUUCUUGACCUUGUAAGACCUUUAUUUGACCGUAUACCACCCAGUCCAGUUCUUGUCCUUAUAGCAGAAUCUGCCUGUUUUCCCUCCCCAUUGCUGCCCAUCUCUCCUUCUCCUUCCUUGUCUAUCCCUCCUGAGCUGUAAAAUUAUUGUUAUUAUUAUUACUAUUAAGCACGGUAAAAGCUUUCACUUUCCUGUUUAGGGUUAAGUGCUUGAAGGCCACCAUGAACUGGAUUUGUUGUUAUGUGCAGAG